rnacentral:tRNA from 2 species
GGCGGGUUAGCUCAGUUGGUUAGAGCGUCGGAAUCAUAAUCCGCAGGUCCCCGGUUCGAGUCCGGGACCCGCUACCA